rnacentral:lncRNA from 1 species
AAACCUGAAACAACUUCUUCACCCUGGGUAGUUGCUACAGGCCCUCCAACUGCUGAUGCUAAUGUAGGCCAGCUGAAAACCUUGCAGCUCCCCAGUCCUCCGGAAUAUGUUGUGUACACCGACAGUGAGUUGGAGCAAUGCCGAAAGAGUUACCUGGAGUUGGCCUGCUCCGGCAGGGAACAAGCAUGCGUCAUGUCAAAAGAACUGAGAUGCAGAUUGGUGAGAAAUACAAUCACAAGUAUGGUGUCCCUUUUGAGAGCAAGCCAAGGCCAAAUGGAGUGAUACCCCUCUAAGACCGAAAUCACUGCAAUGGCUAAAAAAGUUGUGGAAUAUUAUCCUAUGCUGCAGGAUAAUGAUGCAAGCGUAAAACACGAGAGCAUUAAUGCCAAGUUACAAAAAAGGCUGCAAAAUAUGAAAACCCCAGUAAAAAGGCAAGGACCAACACCGGAGAGGGGACGGCCCAAGAGAAGGCUCACUGACCUCUCCCCAAGGGAUGAAGAAGCUGAUGAUGAAGAUGCUGAUCGCAGUUCUUCCAGUGGUGCAUCUACUCUGUUAUCACCUGUCAGAAAUUCUGACGAUGCCUCCACUUCAUCUGACAAGGAUAGUCGGCAAAUACAAGCAAGACAUUACAAAACAUUACAAGAAAUGUGCAAGAAGGCAAAACCAAACCAAGAAGAUGUGUCCCAGCUAUUAGACCUCGAGUUUGAAGCCAGAAGAUCCUUCAUUGACUCAGACACCAUGAAAGAGGAGAACAGAGCUCGCCUCAUCUUGGAUGCAUAUCCAUGCUUUAAAGAAUUGCAUCAUGCAUUGGGUGAGCUUCGCAGAAUUUUGGAUCCCCACAACAAGUUCAUCAGUCAAAUAAAACUGAGAUGGGAAGAAUUCUGCUCCAGGGUAGAGUUCUACGGUGUGUCAAAGAAGGCAAUGAAUCCACCAAUGACCAUGGACAAAACUGAAGCCCACCUUGCACUGAUGAAGGCUCUUCCAACGCUCUUUCCCACACCUGCCCAUCCACCAAAAAAGAUGGGGAAUGCUUCUGAAGCAUUUCUACAUGUCCUGAAGCCUACAGAAGAUCCAGAUGCUGUCCUCCAGAAACGAAGCUUGUCAUGUCCAGUAGUGAUGUUCGAUGGCUGCAAGUGUGUCAUUGCUGUUGGUAAUUUACCAGUUACAACAUUUGACAAAGAAAAACUUGGUGAGGCUAUGAUAUAUGUGAUGGCAUACUUUUAUGCACUCCAUCUGACUUACCCCAAAUGCGUGGCAACCCUGCUGUCUGUCAUUCAGACAGAAGUUCUCCAGGAUGCCAUUCAUGAGCAUGACACUACAUCAUCUUACAGAAAAGCCCUGGCAGAAUGGCAUGCAUUUAUUGGAAAGUAGUGUGUAAAUUUCAGAUAAGAUUAUGAGAGGGCACUUUUGUUUUGUUUUUUGUUUUUUCAAUCUGGGUCUUAUUUCUAAAAUGGAAAAUGUUCAUUUACUCACCCAGACAAGAUCUGUGGUAUUUGGUGUCAUUCGAAAGAAAUUUGAAUCUUUGUGGUCUUCCUAUGUCACUCGUCAAUUUUAAUGGGGCAAUGGCGAAACCUCUAAGGCUGUUGAAAUGUUGAAACCACUUAAACAAACUCAUAAUGUUGGACCUGUACUGUUCAAUUGUAUCUUUAUUAUCUGCAGGUUAUUGUUAAAGUGGACAAAUAAAGAUGGACACUUUUGCUCUGUUUCAGUUUUGUUUUGUCCUUAAUCAGCAAUAUAAUCUUAAAGUAGUGUUUAGCUAAAUUUAAAAAGCAGAAAUAUCUUUAAAAUGAUUUAAUGUACUAGUUUUUAGACUAUUUGCCUUGAUUUGUUCGUUAGAAUAAGUGUUUUAUGCCUAUUUUCAGAUUUAAUUUCUUCAACAUUUUACUUAGAACAAGUGGUUAAAGCUUAUUUUUAGGUUUCAAGCCAUGAUUGGUUGCCUGGAAUAAGUGUAAAAGACUUAUUUUUAUCUUUAUUAUCUUUAUUUGUGGCCUACAAUAAGUGGUUAAAGCUUAUUUUAAGUUUCAAUUGUUCUGAUUUGUUGCCUGGAAUAAGUGUAAGAGACUUAUUUUUAGCUUUAUUAUCUUAUUUGUGGCUUACAAUAAGUGGUUAAAGCUUAUUUUAAGUUUCAAUGUUCUGAUUUGUUGCCUGGAAUGAGUGUAAAAGACUUAUUUUUAGCUUUAUUUAAAUCUAGAUAUUGUUCUUAUUUCAAGAAAUCUUGUUAAGAAAAAAACACUUACCCCAUGGGCAGAUAAUUUCACUUGUUUUAAGCAAAUCUUCACCAAAAAUAAGUGUAUUUUUCUAGUAUUAAGGAAGUGGGUUUUUGCAGUGUGUAUACUGAUCAGGUGUAGUGCGGUUGUUCAGUGUUCUGUAAUCAAUACAGAUUCUUAUAGCCCCAUUCUUUUUCUGCACAACAACAAUUGGGGAGGCAUAUGGGCUACGGGACUCUGUUAUAAUUCCAGCAGCCAACAGCUGCUGUAUGUGUCGCCUCACAUCAUCAAUGUCGGCUGGGGCUAGUCUCCUUGACCUCUCCCGGAAAGGUCUAGGGUCAUGUAGACGAAUGUGGUGUUCAACCCCUUUAGCCAAGCCAACGUCCCACUCAUGCAUUGAGAAGACAUUUCUCCUCUCAGCUAACUUCUGCCGAAGUCUACUUUUCCACUUCUCGGGGAUAGGGGAGUCCCCAAAAUCGAAGAGGUUUGGAUCUAUUUUCUCAGUGGCAAGGUCAGAGGGUUGGACUGGGGUGACUGUAUCCACGGCAAACAUUUCAGCAAUGACAGAUCCCACUGGUAUGGAGACUGUCUUUGUGGAUUCAUUUUGGAGGAUCACAUUCAAGCUAUUGCUGUCUAUGCCAGCAUCAGAGAGCACACCUGGCUGUACCAGCACGCCGGCAGGGAGUAACUGGGUAGAGGGUGCAUCGAUCGAGAUAAGGUCUUUGGAGGGGGCACUGUGCCUGUCUACUUUGCAGGUGGCAUAGCAAUUUGCUCCUGGGGCGAUAGAGAGAGGGCGGGGCCCUUUCCAUUUUAUCUGUCCCAGCACAUCAUUUUUUUGCAGUUGCUCCUGUGCCCUAAUGGGGGAAUACACAGACUGAAUUCUCAUAGAAUGAGCUGUGUUCUGGUCACCUUU